rnacentral:rRNA from 1 species
AUAGAAUUAUUGCUGCGGUUAAAAAGCUCGUAGUUGGAUCUGUGCCAUAGGACGUGGUCCACCUUCGGGUGCGUACUACGCUCCUAGGCUUUUUGCUGGUUUUCCCGUCGUAGCCUUCACUGGUUGCGGCGGGUGGCUGGCGAGUUUACUUUGAGAAAAUCAGAGUGCUCAAUACAGGCGUAUCGCUUGAAUGAUUGUGCAUGGAAUAAUAGAAAAGGAUUUCGGUCCUCUUUUAUUGGUUUUGUGGACUGAGAUAAUGGUUAACAGGGACAAACGGGGGCAUUCGUAUUGCUGCGUGAGAGGUGAAAUUCUUGGACCGCAGCAGGACGGACUACAG